CGUGUAGGCGGAUUGAUAAGUUUGAAGUGAAAUCCUAUAGCUUAACUAUAGAACUGCUUUGAAAACUGUUAAUCUAGAAUGUGGGAGAGGUAGAUGGAAUUUCUGGUGUAGGGGUAAAAUCCGUAGAGAUCAGAAGGAAUACCGAUUGCGAAGGCGAUCUACUGGAACAAUAUUGACGCUGAGACGCGAAAGCGUGGGAGCAAACA
rnacentral:rRNA from 1 species